rnacentral:rRNA from 1 species
CGACGUAGUUUGACUCCGUGGCUCAGGACACGCUGGCGGCGUGCCUAACACAUGCAAGUCGAACGGAGAACUUAUGGAAUGCGACUUCGGUCAAAUGAAAUUUGUUCUUAGUGGCGGACGGGUGAGUAACACGUGAGCAACCUGCCUUUCAGAGGGGAAUAACGGCUGGAAACGGUCGCUAAUACCGCAUAACGUACAUUUAAGGCAUCUUAGAUGUACCAAAGAUUUUAUCGCUGAAAGAUGGGCUCGCGUCUGAUUAGCUAGUUGGUGAGGUAACGGCUCACCAAGGCGACGAUCAGUAGCCGGACUGAGAGGUUGAACGGCCACAUUGGGACUGAGACACGGCCCAGACUCCUACGGGAGGCAGCAGUGGGGGAUAUUGCACAAUGGGGGAAACCCUGGAUGCAGCAACGCCGCGUGAAGGAAGAAGGUCUUCGGAUUGUAAACUUCUGUUUUUAGUGAAGAAACAAAUGACGGUAGCUAAAGAGGAAGCCACGGCUAACUACGUG